AUGGCCGGAUCCGGCACCUCAUCCCCAUCUCCCCUUGUUCCCGCAGGGCUCCGGGCGGCCGUGACCCUGCUGGAGUGCGGGGGGGACCUCCAGCCCCCCGGGGGGUCCCUGACUCUGCUCUGCCGCGCCUCCGGGUUCAAUUUCGGGAGUUACGACAUGUACUGGGUCCACCAGAGCCCCGGGAAGGCACUGGAAUGGCUCGCAGGGAUCACCAGCAGUGGCAGCAGCACCUACUACGCGCCAUCGGUCAAGGGCCGGUUCACGAUCUCCAGGGACAACGGGCAGAGCUCGGUGACGCUGACCAUGAACAGCCUCAAGGACGAGGAUUCCGCCGUUUAUUUCUGUGCCAAAAAUGCUGGUAGUGCUUGUACUGCUAUUUGUGCUGGUUAUAUUGAUAUCGAGAACCGGCCCCGCACCGACAGCGCGUAG